CCCCGCCCUACUAACAGCAGCAGUCUUGGCCUGAGGCGCAACUCAGUGUCCACAGAGGAGGACUGGGAGUCAAAGCUUGCCCAUGUGUCUGGAAAAACUGACCAUAGACAAAGGCUAAUGACAAUGUAGUUUUGAACACACAUGGACUCCACUGCCUGAAGCCUGAAGAGAAACAGGUACAGGACCAUCCAAUGAGGCAAUGUACCCAGGCUAAAAUCUGAACACUAAAAAGCCAAUGUAUACCUACUGAAAGUAGUGAAGGCCAAAUAUGGACCCUGAGAAUCCUGAGCUAAAGGUUGAAAUGAAAGUACCCCAGGUAUAAGCAUAAACCUAAAGAUACAUGAUGCAUGAACCUCAAGUAAGAGGUGUUUCCUGGUCUAUAAUUGACCAUUGUCCUGCCAAGGCCCAAAUGUAGAAGAGAAGUUUGACUGGGACAAAUCCUGCAUUGAAAGAGGCCUGCCCC